rnacentral:ncRNA from 1 species
AUGUUAAAAGCAAAAUAAGCGAAAGUUUAUGACGCAAAGCCAUAGGUCUAAAAGCUGAAAAGCUCAAGAUAGCUAGGUUGC